rnacentral:rRNA from 1 species
UACGUAGGUGGCGAGCGUUGUUCGGAUUCAUUGGGCGUAAAGGGUCCGCAGGUGGUCUGAUAAGUCUGACGUGAAAUACCGGAGCUCAACUCCGGAACUGCGUUGGAGACUGUCGGACUGGAGUAUCGGAGAGGAAAUUGGAAUUUCAGGUGUAGCGGUGGAAUGCGUAGAUAUCUGGAAGAACAUCGAAAGCGAAGGCAGAUUUCUGGACGAUAACUGACACUCAGGGACGAAAGCAUGGGGAGCAAACAGG